rnacentral:rRNA from 1 species
GCUGUUGAUCAAUUCUUCGGAAGAGUGAUUCAGUGGAAAGUGGCGAAAGGGUGAGUAACGCGUGGGUAACCUACCCUGAAGUUGGGGACAACUCUUCGAAAGGGGAGCUAAUACCGAAUGUGGUCCCCCCCCGCAUGUGGGGGAGACUAAAGGUGGAAUCCUUCGGGAUCUGCCGCUUCUGGAGGGGCCCGCGUGACAUCAGCUUGUUGGUGAGGUAAUGGCUCACCAAGGCUUACGUCUAGCUGGUCUGAGAGGAUGGUCAGCCACACUGGGACUGAGACACUGCCCAGACUCCUACGGGAGGCUGCAGUCGAGAAUCAUUCACAAUGCGCGAAAGCGUGAUGAUGCGACGCUGCGUGGAGGAUGAAGGCCCUAGGGUUGUAAACUCCUGUCAUGAGGGAAAAACCGCACGGAUGUAAAUAGCGUCUGUGUUUGAUGGUACCUCAAGAGGAAGCCACGGCUAACUCUGUGCCAGCAGCCGCGGUGAUACAGAGGUGGCGAGCGUUGUUCGGAUUUACUGGGCGUAAAGCGUACGUAGGUGGUUUCGUGUGUCGGGUGUGAAAGCCCACGGCCCAACCGUGGAAUUGCACUCGAAACUGCGGGACUUGAGUGCAGGAGGGGAGAGCGGAAUUCAGGGUGUAGCGGUGAAAUGCGUUGAUAUCCUGAAGAACACCGGUGGCGAAGGCGGCUCUCUGGAAUGUUACUGACACUGAGGUACGAAAGCGUGGGGAGCGAACAGGAUUAGAUACCCUGGUAGUCCACGCCGUAAACGUUGUGCACUUGGUGUGGGCGGUAUUGACCCCGUCCGUGCCGGAGCUAACGCGUUAAGUGCACCGCCUGGGGAGUACGGCCGCAAGGCUAAAACUCAAAGAAAUUGACGGGGGCCCGCACAAGCGGAGGAGCAUGUGGCUCAAUUCGAUGCAACGCGAAGAACCUUACCUGGACUUGACAUGUAACUGCAUGCCCCGGGAAACCGGGGAGGCCUUCGAGGGUGUUACACAGGUGCUGCAUGGCUGUCGUCAGUUCGUGCCGUGAGGUGUUGGGUUAAGUCCCGCAACGAACGCAACCCUUGUGUUUAGUUGCCACCGGUGGUGAUGAGCCACCGAGCACUCUAAACAGACUGCCUGUACAAGCAGGAGGAAGGUGGGGAUGACGUCAAGUCAGUAUGGCCCUUAUGUCCAGGGCUGCACACGUGCUACAAUGGCCGGUACAAUGGGAAGCAAUACCGCGAGGUGGAGCAAAUCCUCAACACCGGUCCCAGUUCGGAUUGGAGUCUGCAACUCGACUCCAUGAAGUUGGAUUCGCUAGUAAUGCCGUAUCAGCUACGACGGCGUAAAUACGUUCCCGGGCCUUGUACACACCGCCCGUCACAUCAUGAAAGCCGUCUGCACCCGAAGUCGCCGAGCUAACCCGCAAGGGAGGCAGGUGCCGAAGGUGUGGUGGUGAUUGGGAUGAAGUCGGAACAAGGUA